AUGAACGCUGGCGGCGUGCCUAAUACAUGCAAGUCGAACGAGUUCUCCCUAAAUCUUUUGAUGCUUGCAUUAAAAGAUUUAGGAUUCGGAACGAGUGGCGAACUGGUGAGUAACACGUGGGUAACCUGCCCUGAAGUGGGGGAUAACAUUUGGAAACAAAUGCUAAUACCGCAUAAUUAGUUGAAACCACAUGGUUUCAACUUGAAAGAUGGCUCUGCUAUCACUUUAGGAUGGACCCGCGGCGUAUUAGCUAGUUGGUGAGAUAAUAGCCCACCAAGGCGAUGAUACGUAGCCGACCUGAGAGGGUAAUCGGCACAUUGGGACUGGGACACGGCCCAGACUCACGGGAGGCAGCAGUAGGGAAUCUUCCACAAUGGACGCAAGUCUGAUGGAGCAACGCCGCGUGAGUGAAAGAAACGGGUUUUC
rnacentral:rRNA from 1 species